UCGUAACAAGGUUUCCGUAGGUGAACCUGCGGAAGGAUCAUUA
rfam:Schistosoma margrebowiei strain Zambia genome assembly, scaffold: SMRZ_scaffold0001525